AAGGAUCAUUACCGAGUUUUUGGGGUUGUUGCGAUGCAAGUUGCAACAGGCCUGUCUCUCUCACACGUUGCGUACCAAACCAAAUACGUUAUCACAAAGGAAGAUGUGUCUAAACAACCAAAAACAAAAACAAAAACUUUCAACAACGGAUCUCUUGGUUCUG
rnacentral:misc_RNA from 1 species